CCCCUACUUGCACUGUACUGAGCAAGCUAGUGGUUUCUGAGCGUGCUAGAAGGUCUGGAAUAGGUAGGCUGUCAGGGUCCUCAGUAGCAGGAAUACAUAUGGCUGCAAUAUCCUCUGGCCUCUCUUGAUACUCUUUCAACAGAUUAACAUGAAAUGAUUUCCGAAUCCUCUCAUCUUUGUUACUGGCGAUCACAUAGGUAGUGUCGCAGACUUGCGCUACUACCUUGUAAGGGCCCUGCCAGGAGGUCUGGAGUUUAUUCCCCUUAACGGGUCUAAGCACCAGAACCUUCUGUCCCACCUGGAAUGUUCUCUGACGGGCGCCCUGAUCUUACCAACGUUUCAGACGACCCUGGGCCGCCUGGAGAUGGUCUCAUGCCAUCCGAGCUAAGUGCUCCAUGCGGUCCCACAUCUCCAGAACAUAUGGCACAAUGGGGACACCCUCAUGUUCCAUCUCUCCUUCCCAGUGCUCUCAGAUGAGAUCGAGAGGGCCUUGAACUCUCCUUCCAUAGAGCAGUUAAAACGGAGAGAACCCAGUGGACUCCUGCGGCACCUCCCGAUAUGCAAACAAGAGGUGCGGCAAGAAUCGCUCCCAGUCUCUGUAUUCCGCUGUAAAGGUCCACAGUAACUGCUUUAGGGUACCAUUAAAGCGCUCACAGAGACCGUUAGUCUGAGGGUGGUAGGGUGAGCUGAGGAGGGUCUUAAUACCGCAGACCUUCCAUAAGUCUGUGGUAAACUGUGUCCCUCUGUCAGACAGUAUUUCCUGAGGGAAUCCCACCCUGGUGAAUAUCCAGACUAGAGCACUGGUGACAGUGUCAGCCUGGAUAUUUGUCAGAGCAACGGCUUCCUGGUAGCGUGUAGCAUAGUCCACCACGGUAAGAAUAUAUUUCUUACCGGAGGGACUGGGGUUAGGUAGGGGCCCUACCAGGUCGACUGCCACUCUGCUAAACGGUUCCUCGAUCACGGGCAUAGGUGACAGUCGAGCCUUAGGGUGAUCCCCCCUCUUCCCUAGUUGUUGGCAGACGUCACACGUGCUGCAGUAACUCUGCACAUCCUUCGAGAUCCCUGGCCAAAAGAAGGUCUGGGUGAUCUUGUAGGUGGUGCGGUUACCCCCUAAAUG